UACGGAAGGCAGCAGUGGGGAAUAUUGCACAAUGGGCGCAAGCCUGAUGCAGCCAUGCCGCGUGUAUGAAGAAGGCCUUCGGGUUGUAAAGUACUUUCAGUCGUGAGGAAGGUGUUAAGGUUAAUAACCUUAGCAAUUGACGUUAGCGACAGAAGAAGCACCGGCUAACUCCGUGCCAGCAGCCGCGGUAAUACGGAGGGUGCGAGCGUUAAUCGGAAUUACUGGGCGUAAAGGGCACGCAGGCGGUUAAUUAAGUUGGAUGUGAAAUCCCCGGGCUUAACCUGGGAAUGGCAUUUCAAGACUGGUUAGCUAGAGUCUUGUAGAGGGGGUAGAAUUCCAUGUGUAGCGGUGAAAUGCGUAGAGAUGUGGAGGAAUACCGGUGGCGAAAGGCGGCCCCUGGACAAAGGACUGACGCUCAUGUGCGAAAGCGUGGGGAGCAAAACAGGGAUUAGAUACC
rnacentral:rRNA from 1 species